rnacentral:lncRNA from 1 species
GCAGCUUCCGGUUCCGGUGCGUGGCCGUCGCGUCGCCCGCUGCCCCCACCCGUCCUGACGCGCGCUCCAUCUACGCCGCCAGCGGGGCGCGGGGCCGGGGGGGUGAGUUAUUUUCAGGCCUUUGAAGCCGCGUGCCGGAGGCCCCGAGGUCUUGGGCCGUGGGCGACCUGGGCCACCGCGCGGGCCGGGCGCUUAGGGAGGGCAGCGCGUCCUGCGCCCAGAACCGGCUCGCCCCAGCUAGACGAGGCUGACUCGGUCCUCCCAGGGGGCCGGCCGCAGGCGGGUCCCGGCGUCCAGACGCAAGCUCGCUCCCCAGGGUCUCUGCUCCCCCCCGGUGGCCCGGCCCCACCACCGUUUCCUUUCUCUGAACCCGAAGCCUCCUCGCUGAGCUCCACCCCUGUCCUUUUUUAUUUUUCAUUUUGAGACAGGGUCUCGCAAAGACGAAGUUGCCAGGCUGAGGGUCGGGGAUGUAGCUCAGUGGUUCCACCGCCUGCCUCGCCAGCGCAAGGUCCCGAGUUCGAUCCCCGGUACCAAAAAAAAAAUUGCCAGGCGGGGCUUAAACUUGCGAUCCUACUGCCUCAGCCUCCCAGAGUGCUGGCAUCAAGGCGGCGCCCCCACCCCCAGUUCCGCGUUUUGGAUGAAAAUUUCUGCCCGUCUGUUGUUUUUGAGGACGUCUGUCUGCAAGACUGGGUUUGUCUGUGUGCAGUCCUGGAUUCUGGGCCAGAGCAGCGCCCACCGCCUGGGUCUUGCUGAGCAGCGCAGUCUGGGAGUCGCUCAGCGAACAAGCCGGGCGCAGGCUCGACCUGGGCUGGGUCAGCUGAUCCCGGGCGCUGUCCAGCACGCUGACCUCACCGAGGGGACAGACAGCAGGGCUAAAGGACAGGUCUCACCAGGUUGCGCAGACUGGCCUCAACCACACGAUCCUCCUGCCUCAGCCUCCUCCUGGGCAGUUGCAGAUACAGGCAUGUAUGACGAGUGACUUCUGAUGUUGAACAGUGUUCCCCGAGAGCCCAGCUAGCACACUGGGG